UGCUUGAACUUCAGAUUGCCAUAGUGCAUGACAGCCCCUGUCAGCUUGUAGAUGGCUGUCUUCUCAUCGGCAGUGAAGCCGAGUAUGUCAAUGGCACUCUGGCAACAGAAACAGGUCUGGAACUCACUGGGAGUAGAAACAAACCACAGCACAGUUAAAAGAGAAUGAGAGAUAUCCCUGGAUACAGAUGGUCCUGCACAGACACAUGGUGUGGGCAAAGUGCUGGAGUGAUGCCACCCAAGAUUGCUGAAAAGCGAUCCCAUCCCACUUUCUGAUUUUUAGCUUUCAAGUGCUGUUGUUGGCCAUGCUGUCAUUAUGGUAGAACGUAUCUAGACAUAUCAGUUCUCUCUAAGGCUGUCAUGGACAGUCUGACAAAGAAUGCCCAGCCUCUGCUGGCCUCUGUGUAAAAUGAGAGCUCACAGGAACGUUAGCACAAGACAAGCAGAAAUGUCAGAACACUGCUCUGUAGCAAAACUGUUCAUCCCUACACUUCUGCUAGGAUGUGGCUGGACACUGAACUCUAGAGAUGGUAAGAGCACAUUUUCCAUAUUAAAAGUUUCUUUAUCAAUUCAGUGUAGAUUUGCAAAGGUGCAUGCUUUCAACAUUGUGUGCAGAAUGUGCUCAGUCCAUAUUUUUGAUGUGUCACUGCUUAGGAAAUGUGCCAUUAAACUAACAUUUCUGAUAAAUGUGGCUGAAAGAAUAGGCUGAGAGAAUUGCUGGAAGCUGUAAGUGAUGUCCCAGGAAGAACUACUGAGGAUCAUAGCUACCGAGACUUGAAACCUGCUAGUUUUUAAAUAGUGUGCACCACCCAUGGCAAAUGUAAGCAAAAAUGCAGGGUCUACAUGUGAGCACUUGGGAAGACAAGCUGAUGUCACUGGCUAGCCAGACCAGGGCUAUAAUAGCCUUGCUAUCCCCUGUCCCUUCUGCUCUAUUCAGAAACUAAGUCUGCAGAUCUUAACACAGUUGGGAUUUACCUUCACUGCAUGUCAAGGAAAGUGAGUGCAUCCAUCCCAGGGGGAACUUUGAUGACUAAUUUGUCUCUAAGUAGUUUCUCACAGUGUAUUCUUGGAAGUUCUCAGCAUGAGUUAACUGAACAUGAGAGUCAAAUAAUACCCACAGCCCGGGAUUAGAGGAUGGGCAGCUUUCAAAUGUGCACCCACCAUAGGUGCCCAUUACUCACACUCCUUCUGUCUCCACAGCUAACAUCAGUGGAAAAGAUCUGGGCAGUAAAUUCUGGCCAAGGAGAUGACAUUCAGGAUGCCCUGUCUAUCACCCAUCAAAGCAGCUGAGGGUCUCCUGUUACACAGCAGUGCCAGCUACGCUUCACUCCUCAGUUGCUGUUAAAGUGCUUCUCAUUCCCUCCACACUGGUCUGCAUCAAGAGCUCCUGCAGCCUGGAGUCACCUGGGGUGCCUGGCAGUGAACGCUUCAGACAGGCAGAGUUGCAGCACUGGAUGCAAAUUUAUUCUGCACUCUUCAGCAAGGGCUUGAUCUUGAAGAACAGCUUCAUCCAAGGCCAGUGCUUCACAUUCAUGAAUGCACGAAUAUUGUACUGGAUGCAGAAGAUGGACUCUCUGCAAGGUAGCCCCUGCACCUCGCCUGUGUGCGGGUGAUGAGCUGUGCCAGCUUCUCAUCCCUCAUCUCUUCCAAGAGGCCUACAAGACCAGCCUUGAAGAACACCUUUGGGCUGGACUUCACUGGGACCAGAAGCAAACCACAGCACAGUUAAGAGGUGGACUGAAAACCAUCUCUGGAUACAGCCUGUCCUGCACAGCAAAGCAUUGUCGGCAGUGCACAAAUUCCUCAGGGAGGAGAAAGGAUUCAGUUGUGCUGAAAAUAGACCCUUCUUGAGACAGAGAUCAGGCAGCUGCCUCCCCUCUGCCAGCCUUUAAGAUGUAUACUUUCUUCUCCUGAUCCCUGUGGUUAGCUAUCAGACAAGGAGUGAGAAGGCAUUUUUUAGCUGGACAGCACGGCAAGGCUAGAGAAGGGAACUGGAUGUAGCUACAGAUUGCUGGAGUUGGCUAGCAAGAGCCUCCCUCUCAUGCAUAGUCAGGGUCAUCAAGCUCCUGAACUGGAAAUAUGAGAAACAGGAGGUUUUGUGUUAGGAAAAGGAAUAGAACUAUAGAAUUAUAGAAUGGUUAGAUUUUGAAUAGACUUUAAAGAUGAUCUGUUAGACGUGUGUUUAGCUGAUUGUAGGAAGCUGUUACCCCUUUUGCUUGACACUGGUGAGCCCUCAUCUGAAACAGCUUGCCCAGUGUUAGGCUCUCCAGUUCAAAUGGGAUGUGAACUAAUGGGACAGGGUCCAAAAGAAGGCUAGAAACAUGGGCAAGGGUCUAGAAUACUUCUGUUAUGAAAAGAGUUUGAUGGCAUGUUAAGUCUGAGGAAAAAAAGGGCUA